rnacentral:lncRNA from 1 species
UCCACCACGUUGUAAGUACUCUAGUUAUGCGACAUUUUAGGCUCAGAUACCAUUGGUCCCAGUUGAGAUUUUUCACAAUCUUUCUUCUAGUGUUCUUCAUGGGCGCGAUUGUGAUUGAUCCCUUAUUUCUCCACGUCCUGACUUCUUCUUUUUUCACUUCAUGUUGCUUUGGUUGAAAUGCCUCAUGAACUGGUUGUCAAAAUUCAUCCAAAAUUUCCGCAAAUCCCUUUGAUUUAAAUGCAUGUCUUGAAAUGAACUUAGUGAAAAUGCCAAUGUCUACCCUUAGUGUCCUCCCAAUGGAUUGAAUGCAAGGCAUUAAUACAACCACUAGAGAUUCUACUAUAAGAUAGGUGAUAAGCAUCAAUGAAAUACCUACAAAAAAGCAAACCUUGUUAGCCGAAAAGUUUCUUACCAAACUCUUCUCAAAACUGAAUCGAGUCUGAUAGAGAAAUGGAUCCUCUUUUCCUCCUAAUUCCUUGCAACCUUCACUCUUAUGUAGGUACAUUGCAUCUUAUCUUCAUUAAUAAUCCUCCUUCCUUUUGAGUCCAUAUCGCAGAAACAAUGACAUUCAAUAUUUCCUUCAUCUAGAGCAUAAUUAGCAAGGUGGUCUGCUAGUGUAUUCCCUUCUCUAAAUAUGUGUGUGACCUUGAAGAUACUUUUUUCCUUCAAUCUUAAAAUCUCCUCUACAUGUUUCGUAAUACACCAAGGAGGCUUCCAUGAUUCCUCUAUAAUGUUCUUUAAUAGCAAGGAAUCUGUCUGCAGCCAUAUCUGGAAAUAAUUAAGAUUUUUGCACAUCUUCAAUACCUCCACAAUAGCUACUGCUUCUGAUUUAUUGUUGGUUCCUUCAGAAAUCUCCCUUCCUUCUACGUAUAUCAAAUCUCCUACCUCAUCCCUUAUGCAUAAACCAAUUGCACUCCUUCCCGGAUUCCCUCUACAUGCUCCAUCAGUAUUCACUUUGAUCCACCCUCUUGAAGGAAAUUCCCAUACCACUUUAUCAAAUUUCAAUCGAGGCGUGUAUUGCUCCAUCAUUGUCAGUAAGUCCAGCCACUUGUGAGGCACAUGUAGUCCAGGAUUUUUUAGUUGGACUACAGCUUGCAGAGUAGAUGACACCUGGUAAAUAACUCUGCUCACUGACACCGCUUCUCCAUAUUUCAAACUGUUUCUUCUCUUCCAAAGUUCCCAUACAAUGCAUGCAGGUAAAGCUUGUAAGACUGGCUUCAAUCUGGGAACAAUUGGUGUUGUCCAACACUUUGUAAUUGCUUGUUGUAAUGAUAACCCUUGUAAUGCAAUUCCUGCUCUCCUCAGGAAGUAAUUCCAAACACUCCUAGCUGCAUUGGAAGUGAAGAACACAUGUACUAAUGAUUCCUCCUUAGGAUCAUCACAACACCAACAUUUAGAUGGCAUGGAGUAUGCUAUUUUACGCAAAAAAUCAUCAAGUGGUAGUUUGGCUUUCCACACUUUCCACAGAAAGAAAGAUAUCUUGAAAGGUAAACCUUUGACCCAUAUCAUCC